AGUGAACGCUGGCGGUAUGCCUAACACAUGCAAGUCGAACGGCAGCACAGUAAGAGCUUGCUCUUACGGGUGGCGAGUGGCGGACGGGUGAGGAAUACAUCGGAAUCUACUUUUUCGUGGGGGAUAACGUAGGGAAACUUACGCUAAUACCGCAUACGACCUACGGGUGAAAGCAGGGGAUCUUCGGACCCUGCGCGAUUGAAUGAGCCGAUGUCGGAUUAGCUAGUUGGCGGGGUAAAGGCCCACCAAGGCGACGAUCCGUAGCUGGUCUGAGAGGAUGAUCAGCGACACUGGAACUGAGACACGGUCCAGACUCCUACGGGAGGCAGCAGUGGGGAAUAUGGGACAAUGGGCGCAAACCUGAUCCAGCCAUACCGCGUGGGUGAAGAAGGCCUUCGGGUUGUAAAGCCCUUUUGUUGGGAAAGAAAAGCAGCAGGUUAAUACCCCGCUGUUCUGACGGUACCCAAAGAAUAAGCACCGGCUAACUUCGUG
rnacentral:rRNA from 1 species